CUACGGAGGGGGUUAGCGUUGUUCGGAAUUACUGGGCGUAAAGCGCACGUAGGCGGACUGGAAAGUUGGGGGUGAAAUCCCGGGGCUCAACCCUGGAACUGCCUCCAAAACUUCCAAUCUAGAGAUCGAGAGAGGUGAGUGGAAUUCCAAGUGUAGAGGUGAAAUUCGUAGAUAUUUGGAGGAACACCAGUGGCGAAGGCGGCUCACUGGCUCGAUACUGACGCUGAGGUGCGAAAGCGUGGGGAGCAAACAGGAUUAGAAACCCUAGUAGUCC
rnacentral:rRNA from 1 species